rnacentral:rRNA from 1 species
UGGGGAAUAUUGCACAAUGGGCGAAAGCCUGAUGCAGCGACGCCGCGUGAGGGAUGACGGCCUUCGGGUUGUAAACCUCUUUCAGCAGGGACGAAGCGCAAGUGACGGUACCUGCAGAAGAAGCACCGGCUAACUACGUGCCAGCAGCCGCGGUAAUACGUAGGGUGCAAGCGUUGUCCGGAAUUACUGGGCGUAAAGAGUUCGCAGGCGGUUUGUCGCGUCGUUUGUGAAAACCAGCAGCUCAACUGCUGGCUUGCAGGCGAUACGGGCAGACUUGAGUACUGCAGGGGAGACUGGAAUUCCUGGUGUAGCGGUGAAAUGCGCAGAUAUCAGGAGGAACACCGGUGGCGAAGGCGGGUCUCUGGGCAGUAACUGACGCUGAGGAACGAAAGCGUGGGUAGCGAACAGG